AAGCAUUUUGAUAAACUUUUCUCCUGCUCUAAAGUUUGCCUUGGUCUUUUCUUCUACCUUAUGCCCCUCAGUUGAAUUCUUUCUUCUGAGGCGGCAGGAAUUGACUUUGCUGAUAUAUUUCGGUGCGCUGUGACUCGGAUAACUUUCACCGCUAACAUACAUUGGCACUGCUUGACUGGGAUCCAUGCCCUAAUGGUGAAGCCAGCUGGACUUCCUGGGUCGAGUGGGGACUUGGAGAACUUUUCUGUCUUACAAGAGGAUUGUAAAAUGCAACUAUCAGCACUCUGUCAAAAUGCACCAACCAGCACUCUGGAGCUAGCAAGAGGAUUGUAAAAUGCACCAAUCAGAGAAAAUUGAAACAGGUGUUGUGCUCUCAAACUAAGGAUAAUUUCCGACUUGUUACCUGGUUACCAACAAAGAAAAAAGAGAAGCAUCUUAACACCUGAUUAAUCACUCCAGACUCUGCCUGCUUGGGCUCUGUCACUCUUUAAAUGUGUUACUUUGGACGAGUUACUUAAAGAGUUGUCUGUAAAAUGGAUCACCAGAAUUCAUCAGGACAAGAUAUCCUCAGUAUAUAAAGACAUGAUUCAAUACAUUGAGAUACACGACACAAGGGACUUCACACAAAUUUCUGCAUUUCACAAGAUUUUUUCUUCUCUACUAUCCAUAUUCUUCCAGUGUUGUGGAACAUGUUCAUAUUACUAUAGAACAUCUUUCUCUGCUCCUUCUUGCCACCAUGCCAGGAACUCUGUCAUGAAGCAUGAAGCUAGAGGUUUUUCUUAAUGAAAAAAAAGUAAGAUUCAGAGAACUUCCAAUGUAUUUUCCAAGUCUAAGUCUAAUCUAACUCCAAAGCUUAUAAGCAGCUCCUAGAGGAUGUCUCUCCUAAUGUAAAGUUAAAAAUGACUGAUGGGGUAAAAUGUAUUCAUCUUCAGAAAAGGACUUUUAGCAAUAAAAAUAUGUAGCCUGAAGAUACAGAUCUUGAAUAAACGAGGAAAAAACUUUAAUACUGCCUAUUGUUAUUCUGCAUUUUAAUUAUAACAUUAUUUAGAUAUGUAAAUAUAACAGUAUUCUGU
rnacentral:lncRNA from 10 species